CCUACGGGAGGCAGCAGUGGGGAAUAUUGGACAAUGGGCGAAAGCCUGAUCCAGCAAUGCCGCGUGAGUGAAGAAGGCCUUCGGGUUGUAAAGCUCUUUUUACCCGGGAAGAUAAUGACUGUACCGGGAGAAUAAGCCCCGGCUAACUCCGUGCCAGCAGCCGCGGUAAUACGGAGGGGGCUAGCGUUGUUCGGAAUUACUGGGCGUAAAGCGUACGUAGGCGGCUUUGUAAGUCAGAGGUGAAAGCCCACGACUCAAUCGUGGAACUGCCUUUGAGACUGCUUCGCUUGAAGAUGGGAGAGGUUAGUGGAAUUCCGAGUGUAGAGGUGAAAUUCGUAGAUAUUCGGAAGAACACCAGUGGCGAAGGCGGCUAACUGGACCAUUCUUGACGCUGAGGUACGAAAGCGUGGGGAGCAAACAGGAUUAGAUACCCUGGUAGUCCACGCCGUAAACGAUGAUAACUAGCUGUCGGGGCUCUUGGAGCUUCGGUGGCGCAGCUAACGCAUUAAGUUAUCCGCCUGGGGAGUACGGCCGCAAGGUUAAACUCAAAGGAAUUGACGG
rnacentral:rRNA from 1 species